UUGCUCUUCAACGAGGAAUCUCUAGUAAGCGCAAGUCAUCAGCUUGCGUUGAUUACGUCCCUGCCCUUUGUACACACCGCCCGUCGCUACUACCGAUUGAAUGGCUCAGUGAGGCUUCCGGACUGGCCCAGGGAGGUCGGCAACGACCACCCAGGGCCGGAAAGCUAUCCAAACUCGGUCAUUUAGAGGAAGUAAAAGUCGUAACAAGGUCUCCGUUGGUGAACCAGCGGAGGGAUCAUUACAGAGUUGCAAAACUCCCAACCCUUUGUGAACGAACCAGUCAGUUGCCUCGGCGGGGAGCCCUUCAGGGGGCAGCCCGCCGGAGGACCACUAAACUCUUGUAUUUUUGGCCUCUCUGAGUGAUUACACAAUGAAUCAAAACUUUCAACAACGGAUCUCUUGGUUCUGGCAUCGAUGAAGAACGCAGCGAAAUGCGAUACGUAAUGUGAAUUGCAGAAUUCAGUGAAUCAUCGAAUCUUUGAACGCACAUUGCGCCCGCCAGCACUCUGGCGGGCAUGCCUGUUCGAGCGUCAUUUCAACCAUCAAGCCCCAGGCUUGCGUUGGAGCACUGCGGCUGCCGCAGCCUCCUAAAAGCAGUGGCGGGCUCGCUAUCAUACCGAGUGCAGUAGAUUACUCUUCGCUCAGGGCGUGUGGCGGGUUCCAGCCGUGAAAACCCCUACUUCUUNAGGUUGACCUCGGAUCAGGUAGGAAUACCCGCUGAACUUAAGCAUAUCAAUAAGCGGAGGA
rnacentral:rRNA from 1 species